AAUCGGUCAGUUUUUUUUAAUUUCCAGCAAAGUAUAUAAACAAAGUAAAUUAGUUUACCUUACCACACAUACUUCGACAGAGAAAAUUGAAGGAACUGUCUUUAGUUUGUAAGUGUUUGUUGAUUUUCAUAUUAUUCUUACAAGGCUUUAAAUAGAUCUGCAAUGCUUCAACAACUUAGCAAGAUUAUGAAAAAUGUCGUAUAUUGUUCUGAUAUUUUUGUUUACUAGCUUACAUAACUUUGAAUAAUUUUAAUACUAAGGUUUUUCUAUCUCAGGAGUAGAUUACAUCAGCUGUUUUUUGAAACACCUUAGGAUUUUUUUAUAAAUAUUUAAAUACAUGAAAAUAAACUAUAUAAUUAUGUAUUUAAUGAUACGGUAGGUCACUGAUUCUCUGAAGAUAUAUACUGUUACAAAAAUAGAAGAGUGUGUACUAGAGAUAAUAUUGAGAUGUUUGGAUUGCUUAAGGACUCGUUCUUAUUUCAAAAUCUCUGAAGAUUUAUGUUGUUACAAGAAAAGUUGUAUUGAGAUAUUUGGAUUGGUAAAGGACUCGUUUUUAUUUAAACAUACAUGGAUAUUUGGAAUAUUUUUGACUCCUAGUAAUUCCUCACAUAUCUUUUUGUCUAUCUUCUUACAUUAAACUAGAACACACCCGUGAUAUCGCGGGUCCGUGACUGAAUUAAAGUAUAUAACUAUGCGCAAGCCUUAUUUUAGUAUUAGUAUUAUCAUCUGAUAAAGUCACGCCGAUUAUAAGAUACACAGUUUUCUUUGCUUUCAAAUCUUUCUGUUUGAACCCGUCGAACUGGAACUUAUCAAUUAUUGAUAAUAUUAAUUAUUUGGAAAACAAAAGGUCCUGGAAUGGAGUAUUUUUUAAUCAACAGCAUUGUCCUAUAUUAGUUAUAAAUAAAGUUGAAUUCUUUGAUUCGCUGUUUUACGUCAUGCCCGCUAACAAAUUGAAAGCUGUACCUAUACGCCUUAUUUUAGUCCAGAUUUUUUGUAUUCGUAUUGUUAUCUUAGAAAGUCUAACUAAUUAUCUACAAUGUAACAAUUGAAAUUAAGUAGUUCAACCCUGUGAUUAUGACCCUAUAUUAUAUAGCAUAUUAAUCAAUACACCGUUUGAACGCCUGUCAUACAGAUAAGGUAAUCGGUAACAUUGAAUCUAUUCAUCGGACUCACCCGGAACUUCUAAUUAUUGGCAAUAUGAUGUUUGACAAAAAUGUAGACAUUUUAUAUUUGAGAUCCAAAUUUAAUGGUUUAUCUCCCUAUACAUGGAACUAUUAAAGGAAAUUUCUACAUUCUACGGGUUUUUGUCAGAACUAUACUAGUAGGACAUUGGACGUUCAGUGAAAUUUAGUUCCAUUGUGUUUUUUUUUUCAGAUGUCACUACUAUAAAACAUUUGCUAUCAAAAUUAUCUUAGUAAUAUGGAUUAGCAUUAUUUCAACUCAAUCGUUGGGUCAUAUUCAGCCAAUCAAGCACUAUUUUUUGCGCAUUGGUCGGGUUGGUUUCUCUUUGACAAAUUUCCCAUUUCAUUCCAAACUAUAUUACAGAAUUUGGAAUAACUCAGAAUUCAACAAAACCAUGGUAUAUCUUUAAUAUAAUAUUCGGAAAUGAUGUGUUAAAUAACAUUGUGUAUUGUAGUGUUUUAUACCAUGAAAAUGUACUUAAUUCGUUUUGUUUUAUUCAAAAACAAAUGAACGAAAAAUUUCUACAUAUCUUUUUUCUUAACCUUAGUUAAGGAUAUUGCACUUUUAAAAUAUACAAUUUUAUUACUUUGGAAAAGGAAAAAUGUGUAGUAUUAGAAAAAGAACAAUGUAUAGUAAAAGAAAAGGAACAAUGUGGAGUAUAAGAAAAAGAACAAUGUACGGUAUAAGAAAAGGAACAAUGUGUAGUAUUAGAAAAAGAACAAUGUGCAGUAUUAGAAAAAGAACAUAUUACAUAAUUAUAACAUUCGCACGAUUCAUUCAAUACAGGAAGUUUUGUAUUAAUAAAGUUCUAUCAGAAUUCGUUUUUUUAUAUAAUUUCCUACAGAAUAUAUUCGGAAAAAUCGUAUCCUACAUUAUUAUAUGUCAUCUAGGUGAGGAAAUCCUCUGCAAGAUGAAAAUAGGCAAGAUUCUGUGUGCGAUGUUCAUGAUGCUAAUGUCAGUUUUAGCAGGAGCAGCUAGUGGACAUCAACCAGGUCUACCACCACCAGGACUUGAAUUCCACAGAGGAAAACGAGAUGCUAAUGCCAACAAUAUAGAUAGAAUGGUAAGGUUUCCAGUAAUUACGUAAAGAACAAUUAUUCCUUAUAUUAAGUUUUAAAAUAACAAAAACAACUACUACUACUACUACUACUAUAACUACUACAACUACUACUUUUAUUGCAACAACAACAACAACUACUAAUACAUCAACAACAACAACAUAAUAAUGAUAAUAAUAAUAAUGAUAAUGAUAAUGAUAAUGAUAAUAAUAAUAAUAAUAAUAAUAAUAAUUCAUUUAUUUGUAUUAUGACUGCUACUGUUUUUGUCUUUGUAGAUAUUCCAACAGGGCAGCGUCCACUGCAGAUGUUAUAUGUGAUGGAUUUCUCCUUUAUAAUUACUUAUAAAUCGAAAAUCAACUUACAACGCAAUGGCUACAAAAGAAAUAGACCAACAGACAAACGUAAAACAACAUUACAAAAAAAAAAAAACCCAAAGAAAACUAAAUACAGAGCAACACGCACCUCAGCAAGAACUGGGGUUAAUCUCAGGUGCUCCGUAAGGCCAAGCAAAUCCUGCUCCACAUGUGGCACCCGUUUUUGUUUGAUAUAUGAGUUGCAGCAAAUCAAUUUACAAUCAUUUUUUUCAAGGAACAUAUGGCCAAUAGAAUGUUAAGAUGAAAUAACAAAACAAUAUAUAUAGAUCAACGAUAAAUAAAAUUUAGUUCAACUUCUUUUAUUUAAUGAUGAAAGAUCCAGUUUGUUGUGCCACAGACCAACUAGCCUCUUUUUAACUGAAAAAAAAACGAUUAUUAUUGAUUGUGUUGUUAUUAUUAUCAUUAUUAUUUUAUCAUUAUUAUUAUCAUUAUCAUAAUAUUAUUAUCAUUAUUUUAACUAUUAUUAUUAUUAUUAUUAUUAUUAUUAUCAUUAUUAUUAUUAUUAUUAUUAUUAUUAUUAUUAUUAUUAUUGUUAUUAUUAUUAUUAUUAUUAUGUUGUUGUUGUUGAUGUAUUAGUGGUUGUUUUUGUUGUUGUAAUAAAAGUAGUAGUUGUAGUAGUUAUAGUAGUAGUAGUAGUUGUUGUUGUUGUUAUUUUAAAACUUAAUAUAAGGAAUAAUUGUUCUUUACGUAAUUACUGGAAACCUUACCAUUCUAUCUAGAUUGUUGGCAUUAGCAUCUCGUUUUUCUCUGUGAAAUUCAAGUCCUGGAAGUGGUGGUAGACCUGUUGAUGUCCAGUCGUCCAUUAGUAGGCUCCACUAGCUGCUCCUGCUAAAACUGACAUUAGCAUCAUGAACAUCGCACACAGAAUCUUGCCUAUUUUCAUCUUGCAGAGGAUUUCCUCACCUAGAUGACAUAUAAUAAUGUAGGAUACGAUUUUUCCGAAUAUAUUCUGUAGGAAAUUAUAUAAAAAAACGAAUUCUGAUAGAACUUUAUUAAUACAAAACUUCCUGUAUUGAAUGCAUCAUGCGAAUGUUAUAAUUAUGUAAUAUGUUCUUUUUCUAAUACUGCACAUUGUUCCUUUUCUUAUACCGUACAUUGUUCUUUUUCUUAUACUCCACAUUGUUCCUUUUCUUUUACUAUACAUUGUUCUUUUUCUAAUACUACACAUUUUUCCUUUUCUAAAGUAAUAAAAUUGUAUAUUUUAAAAGUGCAAUAUCCUUAACUAAGGUUAAGAAAAAAGAUAUGUAGAAAUUUUUCGUUCAUUUGUUUUUGAAUAAAACAAAACGAAUUAAGUACAUUUUCAUGGUAUAAAACACUACAAUACACAAUGUUAUUUAACACAUCAUUUCCAAAUAUUAUAUUAAAGAUAUACCAUAGUUUUGUUGAAUUCUGAGUUAUUCCAAAUUCUGUAAUAUAGUUUGGAAUGAAAUGGGAAAUUUGUCAAAGAUAAACCAACCCGACCAAUGCGCAAAAAAUAGUGCUUGAUUGGCUGAAUAUGACCCAACGAUUGAGUUGAAAUAAUGCUAAUCCAUAGUACUAAGAUAAUUUUGAUAGCAAAUGUUUUAUAGUAGUGACAUCUGAAAAAAAAAACACAAUGGAACUAUUUUUCACUGAACGUCCAAUGUCCUACUAGUAUAGUUCUGACAAAAGCCCGUAGAAUGUAGAAAUUUCCUUUAAUAGUUCCAUGUAUAGGGAGAUAAACCAUUAAAUUUGGAUCUCAAAUAUAAAAUGUCUACAUUUUUGUCAAACAUCAAUAAAGAAAAUAUAUUAAUAAUCCUACGACAUUAAUUGAAAAUUAGGCCCAGUUAUUUAAUGUAAGAAGAUAGACAAAAAGAUAUGUGAGGAUUUACUAACAAAAAGAUAUGUGAGGAUUACUAGGAGUCAAAAAUAUUCCAAAUAUCCAUGUAUGUUUAAAUACAAAAACGAGUCCAACCAAUCCAUAUCUCAAUACAACUUUUCUUGUAACAACAUAAAUCUUCAGAGAUAAAUAAGAACAGUCCUUAAGCAAUCCAAACAUCUCAAUAUUAUCUCUAGUACACACUCUUCUAUUUUUGUAACAGUAUAUAUCUUCAGAGAAUCAGUGACCUACCGUAUCAUUAAAUACAUAAUUAUAUAGUUUAUUUUCAUGUAUUUAAAUAUUUAUAAAAAAAAUCCUAAGGUGUUUCAAAAAACAGCUGAUGUAAUCUACUCCUGAGAUAGAAAAAAAACCUUAGUAUUAAAAUUAUUCAAAGUUGUGUAAGCUAGUAAACAAAAAUAUCAGAACAAUAUACGACAUUUUUCAUAAUCUUGCUAAGUUGUUGAAGCAUUGCAGAUCUAUUUAAAGCCUUGUAAGAAUAAUAUGAAAAUCAACAGACACUUACAAACUAAAGACAGUUCCUUCAAUUGUCUCCGUCGAAGUAUGUGUGGUAAGGUAAACUAAUUUACUUUGUUUAUAUACUUUGCUGGAAAUUAAAAAAAACUGACCGAUUUUUUAUGCUUUUGUUUUGAAUUUGAAAUUAUUCUUUUAUGCAUAAAUUGAUAAACAAGCUGUCAAAGUGAUUGCAAUCAAAAAUUAUCUGAACUCGUGAGUUUAAUUAAUAAAAUCAUUAGAAUUGCAUCAUCAUAAUCAAUGCAAAAUCGUUUCCUAACAAAGCUUUAUAUAUGAACGCUUACGCUGCACAUUUUUUGUUUGGAAGAGACAUAAUAACCGUAAUAUGAUAGUCCAGCCUAUGACGACAUAACAAAUUUCAGUGCAAUUUAAUUUACAUUUUCUAAAAGGAUCAUGACUCAGACAAACAAACAAUACUAGUCUAGAAAAUCAAAUGAAUGUACUAGUAUAUACAUCGUCCCUCUUUAUAAGUAUAUGGAGAUGCCCGGUGUUAUGAUUGACAAUGUGACAAAUUUCCGAGGGAAAAAAACAAAGAUGUCAAUGAUAACCAGUACCCAUACGGUCUUAAGGUGGUAUGGGAGUCUAUAAAAAAUAAAUAAAAAUGAUAGAAUUUCUUCAUACUUUGCCAAAACGUAGUAUCUAUUGAUAUAUAUUGAAAAAUAUAUUAAAAAUGAUAGGUCACCGUGCAUUUUCUCAAACUACAGGACGUGACAAAAUAACACACUUUGUAUGGAUUAUACAGAGAAAAACACCAUUGUGUUAUUAGAAACUAAACAAAAUGAUAGAAUUGCUAAAUACUUAAGGAAAAGAUAGCUUUCAGACAAUGCUUUGAGAAUAUCAAAAGAAAAGAUAGGGUCACCGUACGUUUUUUUCCAGCUAAAAUACAAAAUAGGAAAAUUCCAUGUAGAAUCCUUCAGAAAAUGCACUGUUUCAGAGUUACUUCUCCUUAAAAUGCCAAUUUAAAAAAAAUUAAAAACAACCAAAAAUAAUCAAUAUUUGCAAAAAUAUUUAAUAAUUAUAAGUUGUAUUCUUAUAAAUUGGUUCUUUUAAAUGAACAUUCACAUUUAAAAUUUUCAUUCCUGCAUCAAAUUUUGCUAACUUGAUAGAAAAUUUUGACUUUUGGUUCUCUGUUUUUUACAAUCCAAGAUGGAGGAAGACACCAAUACCACCUUAAACAAUGGAGAGAACACACUCCGUACAGCAAGUUUGAACAGGAAUUAGUGAAAUUAAUAUAUGAUGAAAUAACACAAAAGAGGGAACAUCAACAGAAACGCCAUUCUUAACAAACAAAGGAUGUACCAUCCAAAAAGAAACCAUAUACCACAGGAAGUUAAUAAAAUGAUCACAAA
rnacentral:lncRNA from 1 species